GGCAGCUGUGUCUGGGCGGAGCUUGUACUGUACAAAAUGGCGGCGCAUGGAUUGCUGAGAGAGACUGAGUUCCAGAGCAGCAUGGCAGUGGUCAGCAGCACAUGGCGCUACUGUGCCGGCCGGAUGGCGCGCUACAAGAGCAGGGCGAGUUCUUCUGAAGAAGGGGCGGCGUGUUUACUUCCCCGGUGAUGAGUAGGAGCUCGAAUCUGCAGGCUACGGGUGCAGCACUGAGGUCAUGGAUUCAAUCCCCACCAUAGCCCUGGGUUUUUUUUUUUUUUUUUCUCUCUGCAUAUAAAGUCCCCAUUGUGGUCAUACUUGCCCACCCUGCAUGAUUCCUGCAUGUCUUUGAAACAACAAGACCUUGACAACAAUAGUCGUUUUGGUGACAUGAGGCCUGUUUCUGUGUUAGGAGCUGCUGUGAACAAUCUGGAACACUUCAUGUGAUGCUGGACACGUCUUAAAAUAAUAUGGAUUUGCUGUGAAGCAGUCUGCAAGAUGCUGAUGAAGUGCAGCAAUGUGGAUUCCAGUGUGACAGAUGCUACUAAUACCUGAAUCUUUUGUGGUCGAUGCUCUGCAAGGUACAGCUGCAGAUUGGCCUUGCUUGGAGAACCUACUGGAAAAAUAUUCCACCUGCUGUGUACAGGAAGAACUUAUCCUUGUUAUCCCAUUGGAAGUGACAACCUUAUUCUCGUGUGGGCUUUGGCUUGACUUCGGUAGUUAUGUAUAUACCAAAAUAAAGAAAUUCUUCUAUAAAAAUAUAUUAAAAUGUAUGUCUUUG